rnacentral:lncRNA from 10 species
CCCCAUUGCCUUUCUACACUCUGGCCAGCCGCAGUCCUGCAGGCUCUAGCCUACAGCCUAUGGUAGGUGCCUUCUCCUUCUUUCCUUCCUGUAGCCAAGCACGGAGCAGCUGUCACUGCCAGCUGCCUCUCUCCAUUGCCACCACACACCAUUCAAGGCUCCAGGGCUCCAGGUUCCAGGCUCCAGCCUGCGGCAGCACACUCUGCUGCCGCUUUCUCCAAACUCUGCGGGAGAAGUAGAGGCUAACACACGAUAGCCUGCAACAGCGCGACGCCCCCUUAGCAUAGCUUAUAUACUGGGGGUUGUGC